rnacentral:rRNA from 1 species
UUAUAUUAUUUUAUUUGAAUGUUAUUAUAAUUGUUUAGUAAAUUAUUAUUUUGUUUUUGUAUUUUUAUUGAUUUAAUUAUUUAUAUUAUAGUUUAUUUGUACUGUGAAGGGUUUAAUAAUGGGUUUUUAUAAGUUGGUUUUUUUUACUGUACCUUGUGUAUCAGGGUUUACUAAUUUUUAUUAUUUAUUUUUAUUUCCCGAUUUUGGAGGAGUUAAUUACUUAAUUUAGUUACUGUUUUAUUAGUAUUAAUAAUAAGUAAUUGGUAAUGAAAUGUUAUUCGUUUCUGGAGAUAUCUGGUUUCCUGAGAAAUAAAUUUAAUUUAUGUUUCUGGUAUAAUUAUUCUGUAUAUUUUGUUUUGUUUUACUUGAUGUAAAGGUGCUGGGGGAUAAGCUUUGGUUCUUAAUUUUAUAAUAUUAUAUUUAUGGGUUUGUUGUGGGCUUUAUGUUGGCUAUCUAUUUGAGUAUGUUAAAAUUUUUUUCCUUUAUAUUUUUAUUUAUGUUUUAUUUAAUUUUUUAUUAGGUUGUUUGGUUUAAUUUUGUAUCUUUUGUAUUUUUGGUUGAAUUAGUAUAUUUUAAUUGUAUUAUUGAUUUUAUUUAUUUUUAAAAUUUAAUAGAGUAAUUAGGCAAAAUUAUUAGUGCUCGCCUGUUUAACAAAAACAUCUCUUCUUGUUGAAUUUUUCGAAGUAUAACCUGCCCACUGAUUUUUGAAGGGCCGCGGUAUUUUGACCGUGCAAAGGUAGCAUAGUCAUUAGUUUUCUAAUUGUGAACUGGUAUGAAUGGCUUGACGAGGUACUUACUGUCUUUAUAGAAUUAAUUUUAUUGAAUUUGGUUUUUGGGUAAAAAAACUUAAAUUUUUUUAUGGGACGAGAAGACCCUAUAGAGUUUUAUAUAAUUUAUUUCUAUUUUUGUUUGACUUAUUUUAUUGAAUUUCUUUAUAUUUUGUUGGGGUGAUGGGAGAGUAAAUUUAACCUUUCUUUUUUUUUAUUACUUAUUUGUAAAUUUUUGAUCCUUUACUAUUGAUUAUAAGAUUAAAUUACCUUAGGGAUAACAGCGUAAUCUUUUUAGAGAGUUCUUAUUGACAUAAAGGUUUGCGACCUCGAUGUUGGAUUAAGAUGAAUUUUUGGUGUAGAGGCUAAAAUUUUUAUUAGGUCUGUUCGACCUUUAAAAUCUUACAUGAUCUGAGUUCAAACCGGCGUGAGCCAGGUUGGUUUCUAUCUAUAUUUUUAUAGAAUUUCUUAGUACGAGAGGACCAGAAAUUUGGGAUAAUUCUUUUCUUAUGAAUUUCAUUAAUUU